CAUGCAGUCGAGCGGCAGCGGGAAAGUAGCUUGCUACUUUUGCCGGCGAGCGGCGGACGGGGGCUUAGUGUCUGGCUGGUAGUGGGGGAUAACGUUCGGAAACGGACGCUAAUACCGCAUACGUCCUACGGGAGAAAGCAGGGGACCUUCGGGCCUUGCGCUAUCAGAUGAGCCUAGGUCGGAUUAGCUAGUUGGUGAGGUAAUGGCUCACCAAGGCGACGAUCCGUAACUGGUCUGAGAGGAUGAUCAGUCACACUGGAACUGAGACACGGUCCACACUCCUACCGGAGGCAGCAGUGGGGAAUAUUGGACAAUGGGCGAAAGCCUGAUCCAGCCAUGCCGCGUGUGUGAAGAAGGUCUUCGGAUUGUAAAGCACUUUAAGUUGGGAGGAAGGGUUGUAGAUUAAUACUCUGCAAUUUUGACGUUACCGACAGAAUAAGCACCGGCUAACUCUGUGCCAGCAUCCGCGGAAAUCCACAGGGUGCAAGCGUUAAUCGGAAUUACUGGGCGUAAAGCGCGCGUAGGUGGUUUGUUAAGUUGGAUGUGAAAUCCCCGGGCUCAACCUGGGAACUGCAUUCACAACUGACUGACUACAGUAUAGUAGAGGAAGGUGGAAUUUCCUGUGUAGCGGUGAAAUGCUUAGAGAUAAGAAGGAACACCAGUGGCGAAAGCGACCACCUGGACUAAUACUGACACUGAGGUGCGAAAGCCUGGGGAGCAAACAAGAUUAGAUACCCUGGCAGCCCACGCCGUAAAUGAUGUCCACUAGUCGUUCGAAGCCUUGAGC
rnacentral:rRNA from 1 species